rnacentral:lncRNA from 1 species
GGGGCAGCCCCACCACACGGGUCAAGGCCGGGAGCCUCUUCUGCAGGCCCUGGAGCUGGUGACCGGGGAGCAAGGGCCCUGCGAGCCUGGCCUCUGCUGAGGGCCGGGACUCACCUCCUUGUCUGUGAGCCGGAAGUCGUUCGGAUACACCAGCUGCAGAGGAAGACAGAGUGCUUGGUGACACCAUCUGUCCGAGGAGGCGACACCCCUCGACAGCAUCUGCUGGACUGUGACCGUCCCAGCAGCUGCAGCAUCUGUCUGUGGGGCGCAGCAUGCUGCAUCCUCCCCACACCACCUUCUCUGGCUGUGAUGUCUGGCUCCUUGCUGACCCGCUCCUAUCUCUGACCUCCAGGCACCAGGCCCCGGGCAACUCCCCUGCCGGCCAGAGGCUUCUCUACUCCCACCUCCCCAGGCCCCUCUCAGUAAGAGGCCAGCACAAUUGGGGCCUGUGCCCCACCUGUAGCGCCCAGCCGGACAAGGCCUGCACCCCCAGGAGUGGACAGUGGAGGAGAGCAUGAUGCUAAGCAGGCGCUGAAUGACUUGGAAGACAGGUGUGCGCUGACAGAGGCGGCAGGUGGGGCAGAGUAAGUCUCUCUAAGGACCCUGUCCUGGUUACUUCUGCCUCCCAGCACCUGGCACAGAACAGACCCUCCCCAAAUACAGUGUUCGUGGAAUGUGUGAAGAGGUCUCUGAGGUUUACUAGAACAGGUGGGUGGAGGGGAGCUAAACAGGCACCAAGGAGUGGUCAGGAGGAGGACGAGGGUGGAAGCUGGGAGUAGGCUGGACCCACAGGGGUGCCUCAGGAUAGCUCCAUGAGGGGCUGGAGAUAUAGGGCCACUCAGCCUGAGCCUUCAUGUGUCUGCACUGAGGAGAACUGAGAAAAGGCGGGUACCUUCUGCCUGGGGUCAGGACUCUGCACCUGGUCUGCCAGUCACAGGAGCCUGUGGCCUCUGAGCUCCGUGCCCAUGCCCAGGGGGCCCUCAGCAUGUCUGACCAGGGAAAGCCACAUUCUCAGGCUCAUCCUUUUUGAGAGUGUCCCUGGGGCCCAGGUACAGCCUGAAGUUGAGUACAAAGCCAGGGGUCAGGCCACCCAGGGUUGGCCACGCCAAGGUUAAGGGGACAAAUGGAGCUGAUCUUCAGGGCAAGGAGGCCUCCCAGGUCAGGCUGUGCCCUGCUCGGGGUUCCAUGAGGGUCUUGCCUGAGCCCUGCACAGGUCCCUGCUCCUGGUCACCAGUCACCCGGAGGAAGACUGGGGGUGGGAGCUUGGUUUGGAGAAGGCACAUGCAGGGAGCGGUUCCCAAGGUAUGGCCGGGCCACCCUGGGAUCCCGGGGGUCACAGCCCUUCUCCUGUGUGAGAGCCUCCUCUCUCAUCUUCACCCUCAGGUACAGCAUGGCUCCCAGAAGCCGCGGUGUGUCCUGUCCUAGAGGGCUGAAUGCAGUGCUGAUGAGAAUCCAGCUGUUUUCCAUUUGGUCGGACUUUUUAUUUUUUAUUUAUUUAUUUUUUGAGACGGGGUCUUGCUCUGUCACCAGGCUGGAGUGCA